AAUGGAAUAUUAUAUGAAACAUUAGUUACUCCAUUUUAGAUUUGGGGUUCCAUUUUGUAUGGCAUGGGUCUCUUGGGAGACAUUGCAAUGAGUACUGUGCUUGUUUUUCUCCUACCAUUUAAGCUUUGCGGUUUUUGUCAUAGAUACAAAUAGAUUAUGUGUUAGACGGCUAGUUCCGGCACAGACAUUCUGUGUGCAAGAAACUUGUUCCUCAAUUUUCUGAAACUUGUAAGAAUGAAACUUGUGGAAAGAGGAACAUCUGUAUCUGUAUAAAAUACUGUGAACAAUAUAGACAAUUUGCAAUCUAUGAUACAGCAUAUUGUGUCUGUGUCAUUAUUUUGUCCCGCCGGCACAGGGGGCAUCCACCUGUCCAAGGUCCAGCCUAGGCAACGGAACCAGAACCGAACCUUACAGACUGGUACCAGAAGUGGGGUAUUGAUUGACCAGAUCCAACUCACCCCUUUAUACCUGGAGAUGAGGUAUUGGUUAAGCAAUUGGCCGUAA